GUUAAAGGAAAUCCUGGCUCACUCUUCAUCUUCGUUCGUUAUUUAAAUGUGUUUAUGAAACAAAACUUACAUGGAUAAAAGAUUGUUGUAACAAUAAGCUGUAUCCAAUUACAAGGAAGUGAAUCAGAAUGAUCUCGUGAUGAGCCCAUCCUUUACAUUUGAAUACACACGUCUACACUACAAUACAACGAAAGACAAAAAUGAAGAAAUAUUUCAUUAUAAAACUGUGAAUUUACGUUGUGCAACGAAGAAAUAAGUGUUGAAACGUAGAAAUAGUCGUUUUGGGUCAUAUUUGUUUGAAAUUCAAACAAAGGCUUCUCGAUUAAAACCAAACAUUGUUCAUUAAAGUAAUUCAGAGUAUUUACAGCAUUAUAUUCUAAAUAAACUUCUUGUUUGAAAAUGGCUUCACCACCUCAAAAACUGAAGAUUGAAGCAAACGGAUCUCGUUUAAGUAAACUCUUGAUAAAUAAAGGAACACAAGCUUUGAAAACAACAUUGCAGUUUAUUAUAAAUUUUCGUUCGUCAAACCUAAGCGAUGAACUUAAUAAAGCCUCAAAUAAAACUACAUUGGAAUCAUUAAGAAAAAGAAGCGUCAUCAACAAAGAGCAAUGGGACCUUCUUUACCCAUCAACUGGUUUGCCAAACCUUCAAAACUUUGAUAUUUCAUUAUUGACUGUCUUAUUGCGUAACAUAUGUUGUCUAACAGCGCCACAUGGUGGAUGGGAUAAUAUUCCUUUCUCUUCAGAUACUUCAAUCUCAGCAAAUAUUGCAAGAAUAAAGUUUUAUCGAAACAAAGUGUACAGUCACAUAACCACGACUAGUGUAGAUGACAGUGAGUUUGAGCAUUUGUGGCAGGAAAUUUCAAAAGCAUUGGUUGGUCUGGGUAUUCAACAAACUGAAAUAGAUGAAUUGAAGGAAGCUCGUCUCAGUCCUGAUGAAGCAAAUUAUAUUGAAAUGUUAAAAAACUGGUGUACUGUU